UCAGGACGAACGCUGGCGGCGUGCCUAAUACGUGCAAGUCGAACGGUCUUUCUAUGGAAGCUUGCUUCCACUGAGAAGAUAGUGGCGAACGGGUGAGUAACACGUGGGUAACCUGCCCAUAAGAGGGGGAUAACAUCCGGAAACGGGUGCUAAUACCGCAUAGUUUUCUCGAUCGCAUGAUCGGGAAAGGAAAGACGGCCUUUGUGCUGUCGCUUAUGGAUGGACCCGCGGCGUAUUAGUUAGUUGGUGAGGUAAUGGCUCACCAAGACGAUGAUACGUAGCCGACCUGAGAGGGUGAUCGGCCACAUUGGGACUGAGACACGGCCCAAACUCCUACGGGAGGCAGCAGUAGGGAAUCUUCCGCAAUGGACGAAAGUCUGACGGAGCAACGCCGCGUGAGUGAAAGAAGGUUUUCGGAUCGUAAAACUCUGUUGUCAGAGAAGAACAAGUUGGAGAGUAACUGCUCCAGCCUUGACGGUAUCUGACCAGAAAGCCACGGCUAACUACGUGCCAGCCGCCGC
rnacentral:rRNA from 1 species